rnacentral:rRNA from 1 species
AUGAAAAACGCUUCCUACUCUAUCGUCUCCUGGAAUGUACGCGGAUUAGGUGAUAAUGACAAGUGUGCCAACGUGUUCUCUGAAAUCAAUCUCCUGCGCCCAUCUAUAGCCCUUCUUCAAGAAACCAAGUUACAAAAACCAGACACAUUCAAGCUUCGAUCGAUCUUUCCACGAUUCCUCGACUCUAAUAAUCACCCUGACGCAAUUGGAUCUGCGGGCGGCAUUCUUGCCACCAACUCUCGAUGCUUCUCGCUCAUCAACUGUCAACAUAACCGUUUCACAUCAACCUUAACUCUAUCUUGUCUUGCAUCGCCACACAACAUCUUCGUUACAAACGCGUACGCACCUUCGCAACGAGAUCUAAAGAUGGCAUUCCUAGACGAACUAAAACUAAUUGAACCACCACCACAAUCACCCUGGCUCCUAAUUGGAGACUUCAACAUCACCAGAUUCCCCUACAAACGCAACAACAACAACUUCCGACGAUCGGAGGCUGACGCUUUCAACGAUACAAUUGAUCAACUUGCUCUCUUAGAGCUACCACUCCUUGACAGAGAGUUCACCUGGUCAAAUAAAAGGCAGGCUCCCACUCUAAUCCGACUGGAUAGGGUUCUGAUCAACCUCGCUUGGGAUGCUAUCUUCCCAAACUCACAUCUAACCUCUCUCACUAGGUUUAUUUCUGAUCACGUACCACUACUAGUCACAGUAUCCAUGUCCAUCCCAUCUUCCCGCCUUUUUCGAUUUGAACGAUUCUGGACUUCAUUCCCAAAAUGUGCAGAUGUUGUACGUGAAUGUUGGUAG